ACCUGAUGCAGCGACGCCGCGUGAGGGAUGACGGCUUCGGGUUGUAACCUCUUUCAGCAGGGAAGAAGCGCAAGUGACGGUACCUGCAGAAGAAGCGCCGGCUAACUACGUGCCAGCAGCCGCGGUAAUACGUAGGGCGCAAGUCGUUGUCCGGAAUUAUUGGGCGUAAAGAGCUCGUAGGCGGCUUGUCACGUCGGAUGUGAAAGCCCGGGGCUUAACCCCGGGUCUGCAUUCGAUACGGGCUAGCUAGAGUGUGGUAGGGGAGAUCGGAAUUCCUGGUGUAGCGGUGAAAUGCGCAGAUAUCAGGAGGAACACCGGUGGCGAAGGCGGAUCUCUGGGCCAUUACUGACGCUGAGGAGCGAAAGCGUGGGGAGCGAACAGGAUUAGAUACCCUGGUAGUCCACGCCGUAAACGUUGGGAACUAGGUGUUGGCGACAUUCCACGUCGUCGGUGCCGCAGCUAACGCAUUAAGCUCCCCGCCUGGGGAGUACGGCCGCAAGGCUA
rnacentral:rRNA from 1 species